UACGUAGGGCGCAAGCGUUGUCCGGAAUUAUUGGGCGUAAAGAGCUCGUAGGCGGCUUGUCACGUCGGGUGUGAAAGCCCGGGGCUUAACCCCGGGUCUGCAUUCGAUACGGGCAGGCUAGAGUGUGGUAGGGGAGAUCGGAAUUCCUGGUGUAGCGGUGAAAUGCGCAGAUAUCAGGAGGAACACCGGUGGCGAAGGCGGUUCUCUGGGACGGUACUGACGCUGAGACGCGAAAGCGUGGGGAGCGAACAGG
rnacentral:rRNA from 1 species